AGCAGCCUUGUGCUGUGAUCAAGUCAGGCAGCAUCAGCCCAACUUUGCACUUGGAUGGGAAACCACCAAGGAACACCUGGGGGCGCUGUAC
rnacentral:rRNA from 1 species